AAUCAACGCUGGCGGCGUGCCUCAGACAUGCAAGUCGAACGAUUAAAGCUCUCUUCGGAGAGUGUAUAGAGUGGCGCACGGGUGAGUAACACGUAAGUAAUCUACCUUUGAGUGGGGAAUAACAUCGGGAAACCGAUGCUAAUACCGCAUAAUGCAGCGGCAUCGCAAGAUGACAGUUGUUAAAGAUUUAUCGCUUGAAGAGGAGCUUGCGGCAGAUUAGCUAGUUGGUAAGGUAAUGGCUUACCAAGGCUACGAUCUGUAUCCGGUCUAAGAGGACGGUCGGACACACUGACACUGAAUAACGGGUCAGACUCCUACGGGAGGCAGCAGUCGGGAAUUUUGGGCAAUGGGGAAACCCUGACCCAGCAACGCCGCGUGAAGGAUGAAGUAUUUCGGUAAUGUAAACUU
rnacentral:rRNA from 1 species